rnacentral:rRNA from 1 species
GAUCAAGCGAAUAAGUGCAUAUGGUGGAUGCCUAGGCGAUUACAGGCGAUGAAGGACGUGGUAGCCUGCGUAAAAUUUCGGGGAGCUGGCAAACAAGCUUUGAUCCGGAAGUGUCCGAAUGGGGAAACCCACCCGCAAGGGUAACCGGUCCUGAAUAUAUAGGGACAUGGUGGCGAACCGAGUGAACUGAAACAUCUAAGUAGCUCGAGGAAAAGAAAUCAACCGAGAUUCCGUAAGUAGUGGCGAGCGAACAUGGAAUAGCCAGUUAUUUUUAGCACAUGCGAUAGUAGAACGGAAUGGAAAGUCCGGCCAUAGAGGGUGAUAGCCCCUUAUACGAAAUCCCGUGUGUGGAACUAGGAUAGCAACAAGUAGGGCGGGGCACGAGAAACCUUGU